rnacentral:rRNA from 1 species
UACGUAGGGGGCAAGCGUUGUCCGGAUUUAUUGGGCGUAAAGGGCGCGCAGGCGGUCUUGAAAGUCAGGCGUGAAAGCCCCGGGCUUAACCUGGGAAUUGCGCUUGAUACUCUGAGACUGGAGUACGGGAGAGGAGAGUGGAAUUCCCAGUGUAGAGGUGAAAUUCGUAGAUAUUGGGAAGAACACCAGUGGCGAAGGCGGCUCUCUGGACCGUAACUGACGCUGAGGCGCGAAAGCGUGGGGAGCAAACAGG